GGCCCGGUAGCUCAGUGGUUAGAGCGUUGGUUUAAAAAGCCAGAGGACCGGGGUUCGAUUCACCGGCCGGGUGG